AAAAUGGCAACACCACUUCUCAGUUCUCACGGAAGUUCGUCUGCACAAAUCUGCACAAGUGUGCAAGUCUUCACACAAAUGUGCAGUCUUCAAGAGUGAAAAUUUGCAUAAAUUCUUUAAAUUGUAACUUGUUAAGUGGCUGCAGGUGGGUAAGCGGUAGUAUGUACUUAGACUUAGGCAACACUCCACUUAGGCACAUGGAUGCCUGAUGAUGAAUUGGUGAAUGGUGAGUGUUGUGUUGUGUGUGUCUGUCUGUCUAAGUUUCAAACAUUGAAUGGAUUGAUUGUAACAUUAUAGUGACCAUUUUUAAUUAAAUGAGUGGGUAAACGUGGCUUUUUUUUCUCGAUUGCCUCACCUUUGCUAACCACGAGCGUCCCCUUAACCCCUAAUAACGUGGUUGAAACAAAGUGCUGAGUCAAAUCAAGGAAGUGUUUGAAACAGCUCAUGUUCCUUGCCCAGAUUACGUUGGUGCAAAAAGAGAGCAACAGAUUGUUACACCUGCAUUGGAUUUUCCAUCUCAAGAUAAUUUUAUUCAGUUUUUUUAUUAGGUCUAAAUAACUCCACCAUUUAUCUCCAAUGUAACAGCAGCAAGUCGAAGGUUUUUCGAGUAAAGUGUGACUAGUUAAAGUUUUACUUCUGCUUGUAAAGAAUCCAGCAAUGUAGGACGAGAACUCAGACAUUCAGUGACAGCAGCACCUACCUUACAUGAAUUUCCGAUGCAAUUUAUGCCUAAAAUAAGAAGAAUUCAAAAUCUCCACAGUCUACAUGGGGGUUGGCAUGAAAGAUAACAAAGAAAGACUUAAGCAGCCCGUGAUUGUGUGUACUCUGGAUUCUCUGGGUCACGACCGUCAUUGGCGCGAAUGCUGGUUCAUUGCAAAACUCAUCUUUGUCGAAAUCUGACAUCCGGGAAGAAAUUAGAAUUGGUGAUGUAACACUUGCCAUGGACGCACGAGCAACUAUCUACGAGGCAACAGACCAACUAUAUGAGGCAGAUGACUCCCACGAUAGAGUUAAAAACAGAGCAAAAGUUGAAGGAGGUUCUGAAAAAAAAAAAAUGCGGCGUCAUUUUCAUCAUUCACGUCGAUCCGCGUCGGAUGUCGAUUGAUUCUUUCAAGUUAUGGCUGCUCGAAAUGCUCGGUCCAGUUUUACAAACAAGUAGGCCCUAGCUUACGUCUAAACUUGGGCCAGUUCUGCAUGUAUGAACGGCCUUACGACUGCAGGACAACCAACUCCUGAUUGAAUUAUUUAAAGAGUUCUUGUUGGCACAACAAUUGAAGAACUAUUUCGUCAUGCUAACUUAUCGACCAUACUGACCGAUUGAUGUCGCUCAACUCAUGCUAUUGCCUUGUCCUGUCCAAAUGCCAAUUGGUUUCCGCACUUGCAAGUAAUCCUUCGGUCGCUGACUGGCAUCUUUUGACAUACAUCUUAAUGGGCCGUAAAGCUGGCUUCUUGGUCUUGUCGCCAAAAGCGAAGAUGAAAAGUUCCAGAAAAUUAAAGAAUUUUGCUUAAUAUGAGAAUCAUCUGGAUUUCUUUCCAAGCAAAAGUAAAAGGGUAUCACGGUCGACUAAGUUCUUUGUUUGCUAACCCGUUGGCUGCUACCUUGACCCUAGCUGGCUGACCUUGCCCUCUUUAACUUCGGGAUUUGAGUUAAUCCUGCGAUAUUCCAUGGAUUCAAUCAAUUGAACCUGACGAGAGAUGAAAGCUCAGCGACGACUAACUGACGUGCUGUUAUUCAGCAAUAUUGCUCACUUGCGUGAUGUCCUUUCGUCGCUCCGAAUCAUGGGGGAGUUGAGCUUGCUUCAGCUACGCGGCCAGCUGCCAGCAUCAUUGGAUUACCCAGCCGACUUGUAAGUUACCCCAGCUCUAAACACAGCACAGAGUUUUACUCUUUAGAUAUUAUGUGUGGCUGUUUGCGAUGUGUGAUGGCGUUUUCUUGAGUGCGACGACUAAUCGCUCCCUAGCAAAACUGGCUUCGCACUCCUCUCUUCUUCCUUGUCCAGGUAAUCUCCCUGAGCACAGUCAAUCAAGGCAGAGUCUCCCCCUGUCUUGAUUGACUGAACUUUGCAAGGAAAAUUGAACAUUUCACUUUAAUAGAUAAAUUUAAUGAAGGUAAAUGAUAAAAAUGCAUGAGCGAUGAUAAACAUAUGUACAUAACAGUGUCAAUAAGAUUGUAAAUAGUUAUAUUUUCUUUAUGAAAUAUUUAAAAUACAAUGUAAUCUAUAUCUA
rnacentral:lncRNA from 1 species